rnacentral:rRNA from 1 species
UACAGCCUGUUGUGGGACUAUGGACAAGAACUGAGGAGAAGUAAUCCAGGGAGCAAAUUCAUUGUUUGCACAACCAAAGUGAAGGAAAUAGGUGAUCUGCUUCCAAAAGAUCACCUAUCUUCACUAUAUUGGUCCUAUGAUGCCUGCAAGAGAGGUUUCCUGAGGGGGUGCAGGCCAAUUCUAUUUGUUGAUGGCUGUCACCUGAAGAGCAAAUACAAGGGUGUGUUGCUUACAGCUGUUGGGAUUGAUCCCAAUGAUUGCAUAUUUCCAAUUGCAAUGGGGAUGGUGGAGGUGGAGUCAACUUACUCUUGGGAAUGGUUUCUCACCACUUUGAAGAAUGAUUUAAACAUCAUUAACACCUCCCCUUUCACUAUAAUGAGUGACAAGCAAAAGGGUUUGAUCAAUGUUGUUGAGAAGAUAUGGCCAGAUGCAGAACACAGAUUCUGUGUUAGACAUCUUUAUCAAAACUUCCACCAGAAGUUCAAAGGAGAAACACUAAAGAAUAUGUUGUGGGCCAUUGCUAGGUCAACUAAUGUGGACAAGUGGACCUUGAACAGAGAGAAGCUUAGGGCACAGAACUUGGAGGCAUAUAAUUGGUUGGAUGGCAAGCCCCCCAACUAG